AUUGAACGCUGGCGGCAGGCCUAACACAUGCAAGUCGAGCGAGCGGAGGCCUGGUGAGUAAUGUCUGGGAAACUGCCUGAUGGAGGGGGAUACCUACUGGAAACGGUCUCUAAUACCGCAUAACAUCAGAAGGGCCCAGAUGGGAUUAGCUAGUAGGUGGGGUAAUGGGUCACCUAGGCGACGAUCCCUAGCUGGUCUGAGAGGAUGACCAGCCACACGGGAAAUGAGACACGGUCCAGACUCCUACGGGAGGCAGCAGUGGGGAAUAGUGCACCAUGGGCGCAAGCCUGAUGCAGCCAUGCAGCGUGUGUGAAGAAGGCCUUCGGGUUGUAAAGCACUUGCAGCGGGGAGGCGUUACCCGCAGAAGAAGCACCGGCUAACUCCGUGCCAGCAGCCGCGGUAAUUC
rnacentral:rRNA from 1 species